rnacentral:rRNA from 1 species
AACGAACGCUGGCGGCAUGCCUAACACAUGCAAGUCGAACGAGACCUUCGGGUCUAGUGGCGCACGGGUGCGUAACGCGUGGGAACCUGCCCUUAGGUUCGGAAUAACUCCCCGAAAGGGGUGCUAAUACCGGAUAAUGUCUUCGGACCAAAGAUUUAUCGCCUUUGGAUGGGCCCGCGUUGGAUUAGCUAGUUGGUAGGGUAAAAGCUUACCAAGGCGACGAUCCAUAGCUGGUCUGAGAGGAUGAUCAGCCACACUGGGACUGAGACACGGCCCAGACUCCUACGGGAGGCAGCAGUGGGGAAUAUUGGACAAUGGGCGAAAGCCUGAUCCAGCAAUGCCGCGUGAGUGAUGAAGGCCUUAGGGUUGUAAAGCUCUUUUACCCGGGAUGAUAAUGACAGUACCGGGAAAAUAAGCUCCGGCUAACUCCGUG